CGUGUAGGCGGUUGGUCAAGUCUGGUGUGAAAGCCCGGGGCUCACCCCCGGAAGUGCAUCGGAAACUAGCCAGCUAGAGCGCGAUAGAGGAGGGUGGAAUUCCUGGUGUAGCGGUGAAAUGCGUAGAUAUCAGGAGGAACACCGGCGGCGAAGGCGGCCCUCUGGAUCGUUGCUGACGCUGAGACGCGAAAGCGUGGGGAGCAAACAGGAUUAGAUACCCUGGUAGUCCACGCCUGUAAACGAUGGGUACUAGGUGUUCGGGGUAUUGACCCCCUGAGUGCCGCAGCUAACGCAUUAAGUACCCCGCCUGGGGACUACGACCGCAAGGUUAAA
rnacentral:rRNA from 1 species